CAACAAUAAAAGGCAGUCAUGUUUUCCAGGCUUCAUCCGUGACAAGGGAGAAGAGGUGGCAUCUCCUGGAGAGACCUGCUGAAUCAGUGGCUACGGAGAUGUGUGGGCUGAAUGGACUUGACAAGAAAAGAUAAAAGGGAUGCCGGCAUGCCUUCUGGGAGAUGAAAGCAGGAGAAACUUGGGACAAAAGGAAGAAGCAAGAAGAACUUCAGGUGGGUACAGAGGUGCCUGACCAUCUGUGGACCGUAACAGACAAGAUGGAAAGCUGGAGUGUGAGCAGAGGACAAAGGACAAGUGUGCUGUGCAAGACGGCGCUUUUCUUCUGGUCCCAUCCAGACGCAAAGAUGCCUGCUGAGGGGAGAGGAAAGUCCAUAAAGGGUGAAAAGUGUUUUAGGAAAAAACAAAAAGGUUGCCUAUUCACAGAUGUGAAAAGAAAUAGUCCAAACUGGGCUACCCAUGGGGCACAGGACUGGAGAAAAGGACACUGACUUUCUCAUUUUCUGCUCAUUUAGAUCAUUUACACCUUUAUACAACAAACAAAGAGGCAUAUUCUUCUUUUUAUAAGAAAAUCCUUUUCUUCACUUGCUUAUUUUCAAUUUCUGUACCUACCUAUUUCGGAGAAAACUUCAAGAUAAAACAUCAAAGCAUUAAAACCACAGGACGCAGAUAACCCAAAGGAAACAGGAAGAGAUGCUCCGUGCUGAUUGUAGUCAAAGAAGCGACGACUUUGGCUUGAUCCUUGGCAAUUCCAUGGUAACAGAGAAAAAGCGUUCUUGUCCGGGCUCUGGGGCUACAAAGUGUUGUUGUUUUUAAAGAAGAGAGCUUACAAAUGUAUCCACUUCUGUCAAAGACUUUCCUAGAACUAAACUCAGUCAGGAAUUGAUCCUGCAGGUCUUCAUAAAAGUUGAAGUAAGUGGCCCAGAGAAGAACAAUUUCAAGUAUCAUUUUAUGAGAGAAAUUCUGUUCAACUAGAUCAUUCUCAGAAUCACCCUCUCUAGAAAUCUUUAAAUGGUAAGUGAAUAAAGGCGUUUUUGAGAUUCUGUUCUCCUUAUGAUAAGAACACAUUAAAAAGGCAUUACUCUAAAUGAAAUCAUUCCAAGUUCUUGUUGUUUGACAUGGUGGCAUUUACGUACUUUAAACCAAGAGUGAGAUACUGGUUUGCUUUCCAUCAUGUAUCUAGUACAACAGACCCACAAUCAAUAUUCCAGAUGUGAUCCAUUUUUUUCACGAAGGCAUGGAAAAGAGCAAGGGUUGGAGAUAACAAAAAUUAAAAGAGUGAAAAAACUCCCCAUAAUUACUAUUUGGAAAGAAGAAAGAAGGUGAAAAGAAUAAAAAGCCCACAAUCCCUGUUAUUUGGUGUCUCUUUACCAUUGUUUCCCUAUAUUUAUGUUUAAGCCGUUACUUUCAUAUGGUACACGCAAUCUUGUUUUCCUUUUCCCAGUGUACGUCGUAUCAGUAGUAUGUUUCCGCAUUGCUGAAGGAUCCUUUUAUACAUCACAAAUGCCUUCUUACAUUUCCCAUACUAUGUAACUGUUGCCUUAAAAUCGUAGAAUCAUGAGCCAUUUUAAUGGCUUUCAAUGCAUAUUGGUAGAUACUGACAAGCUUACUUUCAAAAUGGAUAAUUUUCAAGACUAAGUAUACUGAUUUCAGAUUUCUAAGUGCUUGUUUUGGAAUAUGCCUCAGUUUGGUUUAAACCGAAUUUCUUUGGUUACUAGAGGGUUGAACAAAAAUGUAAUGUUUAGCAAAACGUUUCUAUAUUUUCAACUAGAAAUAUUUAUUUUCCUAGUCCUAGAAAAUAUAUAAAAAUAAAGUGCUGCUCAUUUCAACUGCUGGAGUUUAGUGUUGCUGUUAUCUAUUUCCCUAAGAUCAUUAUAUAAUAAAGAUACUAAUUCUUGCUACACUGGUUGGUCACAUGCUACAAAUGUUUUCCCCCAUUUAUUUGUUUGUUUUAAAACAUGGCCAAGUUUCGAUCUCAAGGCAGCUUCCUCUCAUCACAAAACACUCUCUACUUCCCAGCUGGUGAAUGCUCAGAAAA